UCAAACAAGAAAGAGCGCAGGGUGGAUGCCUUGGCACUAAGAGCCGAUGAAGGACGUGAUAAGCUGCGAAAAGCUGCGGGGAGGAGCAAAUAUCCAUUGAUCCGCAGGUAUCCGAAUGGGGAAACCCACCUGGAUAGACUCCAGGUAUCCAUACGCCAAUCCAUAACGUAUGGAAGGGAACCCGGUGAACUGAAACAUCUAAGUAGCCGGAGGAAAAGAAAGAAAACUCGAUUCCCAGAGUAGCGGCGAGCGAAAUGGGAGGAGCCUAAACCAGCGUGCGUGCAUGCUGGGGUUAUGGACUGCAUAAGUUACCGGAAAGGAUAGUGGAAUGGUUUUGGGAAAGCCAGCCAGAGAGGGUGAAAGCCCCGUACACGAAAUCCGGACCGGGACGGCAGGAUCCAGAGUACCACGAGACACGUGGAACCUUGUGGGAAGUCGGGGGGACCACCCCCCAAGGCUAAAUACUCCUUAGUGACCGAUAGCGCAUAGUACUGUGAAGGAAAGGUGAAAAGGACCCCGGGAGGGGAGUGAAAGAGAACCUGAAACCCUGUGUUUACAAGCUGUGGGAGCACCUUAUGAGUGCGACCGCGUACUUUUUGUAGAACGGUCCGGCGAGUUACGCUGGCUGGCGAGGUUAAACGGUAGAGCCGUGGAGCCGAAGGGAAACCAAGUCUUAAGAGGGCGGAAAAGUCAGUCAGAGUAGACCCGAAACCGGGUGAUCUAUCCAUGUCCAGGUUGAAGUUGCCGUAAAAGGCAAUGGAGGACCGAACCCACAUCCGUUGAAAAGGGUGGGGAUGAGGUGUGGAUAGGGGAGAAAUUCCAAUCGAACCCGGAGAUAGCUGGUUCUCCUCGAAAUAGCUUUAGGGCUAGCCUCGAUAGAGUCUUGCGGAGGUAGAGCACUGAAUUUCCUAGGGGGCGUCAAAGCUUACCGAAGAAUAUCAAACUCCGAAUGCCGUGUAGAUGCUUAUCGGGAGUCAGACUAUACGAGAUAAGUUGGAUAGUCAAAAGGGAAAGAGCCCAGACCUCCAGCUAAGGUCCCAAAGUACGUGUUAAGUGGAAAAGGAUGUGGGAUUUCGAAGACAACCAGGAUGUUGGCUCAGAAGCAGCCAUACAUUCAAAGAGUGCGUAAUAGCUCACUGGUCGAGAGGUCCUGCGCCGAAAAUGUCCGGGGCUGAAACACGACACCGAAGCUGAGGAAUGUCUGAAGACAUUGGUAGAGGAGCAUUGGAUACGCAACGAAGCAGUACCGGAAGGAGCUGUGGAGUGUAUCGAAGAGAGAAUGCCGGAAUGAGUAGCGAGAGAGAGGUGGGAAUCCUCUCGGCCGAAUAUCUAAGGUUUCCAGGGUAAAGCUGAUCUGCCCUGGGUAAGUCGGGGCCUAAGGCGAGGACGAGAGUCGUAGCCGAUGGACAACAGGUUGAGAUUCCUGUACUGCAGUAAGACAGAACUGUGGGGACACGUGUGGAGAGCAUAGGCGCGGAAUGGAAAGCCGCGUGCAAGCGAGGUAGGAGUCCUGUAGGAAAAACCGCAGGGCAAUCCGAAGGCGUGAUGCGGACCGAAAUCUAGUAGGGAAGUAUGUGAGCCAUGCGUCAAGAAAAGCCGCUAUUGUUCUUAUUGUACCCGUACCGUAAACCGACACAGGUGGAUGAGGAGAGAAUCCUAAGGCCGACGGAAGAAGCAUUGUUAAGGAACUCGGCAAAAUGACCCCGUAACUUCGGGAGAAGGGGUGCCACAGAAAUGUGGCCGCAGAGAAUAGGCUCAAGCAACUGUUUAGCAAAAACACAGGUCUAUGCAAAACCGAAAGGUGAGGUAUAUGGGCUGACGCCUGCCCGGUGCUGGAAGGUUAAGAGGAGAGGUUAGCGCAAGCGAAGCUUUGAAUUGAAGCCCCAGUAAACGGCGGCCGUAACUAUAACGGUCCUAAGGUAGCGAAAUUCCUUGUCGGGUAAGUUCCGACCCGCACGAAAGGCGUAAUGAUUUGAGCGCUGUCUCGACAAUGCAUCCGGUGAAAUUGAAGUACCAGUGAAGAUGCUGGUUACCUGCGCCAGGACGGAAAGACCCCAUGGAGCUUUACUCCAGCUUGAUACUGGGAUUCGGUAUUGCAUGUACAGGAUAGGUGGGAGGC
rnacentral:rRNA from 1 species